CCAAUAGCGUAUAUUAAAGUUGUUGCAGUUAAAAAGCUCGUAGUUGAAUUUCGAGACCGGCUUACUGGUCGUGCUUUUGUACGUACUGGUAUAAUCGGUUUCUCCUUUCUGACGAACUAUAAUGCCAUUAAUUUGGUGUUAUAGGGAAUUAGGACUGUUACUUUGAAAAAAUUAGAGUGUUUAAAGCAGGCUCACGCUUGAAUACAUUAGCAUGGAAUAACGGAAUAGGACGUUUGAUUCUAUUUUGUUGGUUUCUAGGAUCGACGUAAUGAUUAAUAGGGAUAGUUGGGGGCAUUAGUAUUCAAUUGUCAGAGGUGAAAUUCUUGGAUUUAUUGAAGACUAACUACUGCGAAAGCAUUUGCCAAGGAUGUUUUCAUUAAUCAAGAACGAAAGUUAGGGGAUCGAAGACGAUCAGAUACCGUCGUAGUCUUAACCAUAAACUAUGCCGACUAGGGAUCGGAUGAUGUUAAUUUUUUAAUGACUCAUUCGGCGCCUUACG
rnacentral:rRNA from 1 species